rnacentral:rRNA from 1 species
AGAAUCAACGCUGGCGGCGUGCCUAACACAUGCAAGUCGAACGAGAAAGUGGAGCAAUCCAUGAGUAAAGUGGCGACCGGGUGAGUAACACGUGACUAACCUACCUUCGAGUGGGGAUAACCUCGGGAAACCGAGGCUAAUACCGCAUAACAUCGUGAGAUCAAAGCAGUAAUGCGCUGGAAGAGGGGUCGCGGCUGAUUAGCUAGUUGGCGGGUAAUGGCCCACCAAGGCGAAGAUCGGUA